UGGUGAAUUAGUAAUAGGGGUUUUAAAAAAACACCCUUUGCACCUCUUUAACUCUUUUCAUCCAGGAUCUCUAAGCACUCUAUAAACUUUAAUGAAGUAAAGUUCAGCAUAUUGGUGGUUACACCGAGAGGCUGCCAAUUUUGCUUUCCAUCUGGCAUUCAGAUGACAUCUAGUGCUUAACUAGUAAGUUUCCAUUGGUGGGUAAGAAAAAUGAAGUACCAAGUUCCCUACUUUUCUCCUAGGUUAUCUUUAGGUUUAUGCAUUUUCUAAGUUGUAUUAUUAUUUUUUAGUCAAGACCUCUCACCUAAACCUAGCAUUUUAAUUCUCUGCCACCCACCUCAAUAUUUAAGAUUGGGUGAUCCAACAUCUUUGUGUGUUAGCUCAUUCCCAGAGUCUUUCUCUCCCUUCAGAAACCUGAAGAGAGGCUGGAAUCAUUUGACUGCUUUCUCAGAUGUGGAUGUCUGAAAACCAAGAUCUCUAAGUUCUUGUUAAUUCUAUCCCUCACGUGGACUCAGAGUAUUGAAUACUUAAGCUCCACCAAGGAAGAGAGUUUCAUGCAAGUGAGCUAUCACUUUGAGAAGUUUUAAUUUAUGAUCCUGUGAUGAAUAUGGGACCGGUGCAAAACCUCACUAAUCAGAAAACAAACUCACAAAGGAUAAUGACUUACCAGAACAUUGUAAGAUCAUAGAGCUGGCAGAUAUCUCUGAGGUCAGAGGGCACAACCCCUACUUGACACACGAAAGAAUUGAGAACAGAGAGGAAGCCUCUAAAAAUGAUUCUUGAAAAUCAUGUUCAAAGAUGUCAACAGCCUGGUCAACUCUGAGAUGUACUCCAGGAUAGAAUGUAGAUCCAGAAGUAAUGAGUAGAACUGCAAAAAUGCUAUCUUCCCGUUGUGUUGUAUCUCUGAUUAGUUUCCUAUAUAUUCCAUCUGGAUCUCUCACUCCUGCCCAAGGCAGAGCUUAUUGGUGAAAGUUCUGUAUGACCUUUGGUGGUACUGGCAUAAUUCCAGCAAGAUUACUAUUGCUUCUUAAAAGGAAUGCUAACAUUCUACCAGUGUGACUAUAUCACAUCAAGAUAUGGAACAUAACUUCUUCAGAAGAACUAAAAAUUAACAUCAUAUAGAAGUCAAUAGAGAACUGCAUGAUGGACGUGAGCAGGCUGCAAUGUAUAACCAAUGAAGAACAAUGAAGAGUAUUCUAGGAAUAGACUAUGAACACUUCCCAUGUGGCAAAAAACGCGGGAUAACAGGUGAAGUACUUUAUUGAUGUCCUGACAAGAGAAAAUGAGGAAGGCCUCUAGGACAUUGGAAAGACUCUGUAUGGCACAUUUUUGAGAGGAUAUAAUCAACAAUACAGGAGACAACAAAAAAGGAGAGCAGGCAUGAAUGGGUUUGACCUCAAAUUGAUGAGGUCAUAGAUUCAUUUGAGUUGUGAGAUGGGUCAGUGGUAACUCUGCAGCAUCAAUAAGGCAACUAUGUCCGGAGCCAUCUUCUGGGAGUAAUAUGGAACUAGAGCAUGAGACAAUAUAGUUUUUAUUGUUUGUGUUUUUGUGGUUCUGAGAACCUCUUUCAACAACAAAAAAUAUUGUGAACCCCCAGAAGAGUUGAAUAUACUCAUUAUAUUCUUUUAUGUUCAUUGUUUGCAAUAACCACAAUGAUUUUCUUGUUUCCAAAAACUGCAAAUUAUACAUCAUGUAAUUAUAAUUAUAAAAUGUAAAAUCUAUCUUACCUGUAAUCAUGGAACUAAAAAAUAUAAUUCUAUACUCUAAUUAUAAAAUAAAUAUGACUAUUUUAUGAGAUUCUGUAAGAAUUUAAAAAAGCAACCCAGCAAGACCUCAUAUCCUUAUUAUUAU